rnacentral:rRNA from 1 species
UGCCAGCCGCCGCGGUAAUACGGAGGGCACAAACGUUGUUCGGAAUCACUGGGCAUAAAGCGCACGUAGGCGGCCUGUUAAGUCAGAUGUGAAAGCCCUCGGCCCAACCGAGGAACUGCAUCUGAAACUGGCAGGCUAGAGGACGACAGGGGUGAGUGGAACUCCAGGUGGAACGGUGAAAUGUGUAGAUAUCUGGAGGAACACCGGUGGCGAAAGCGGCUCACUGGACCAACACUGACGCUGAGGUGCGAAAGCGUGGGUAGCAAACAGGAUUAGAUA